rnacentral:rRNA from 1 species
CACGUAGGGGGCAAGCGUUGUCCGGAUUUAUUGGGCGUAAAGAGCUCGUAGGCUGUUCGAUAAGUCGGGUGUGAAACCUCCAGGCUCAACCUGGAGACGCCACCCGAUACUGUCAUGACUAGAGUCCGGUAGGGGAGCGUGGAAUUCCUGGUGUAGCGGUGAAAUGCGCAGAUAUCAGGAGGAACACCAGCGGCGAAGGCGGCGCUCUGGACAGAUACUGACACUCAACUACGAAAGCGUGGGGGAGCAAACAGG